UACGUAGGCAGCGAGCGUUGUUCGGAGUUACUGGGCGUAAAGGGUGUGUAGGCGGUUGUUUAAGUUUGGUGUGAAAUCCCCCGGCUUAACCUGGGAACUGCGUCUGAUACUGGACGGCUGGAGUUUGGGAGAGGGAUGUAGAAUUCCAGGUGUAGCGGUGAAAUGCGUAGAUAUCUGGAGGAAUACCGGUGGCGAAGGCGGCAUCCUGGACCAAUACUGACGCUGAGGCGCGAAAGCUAGGGGAGCAAACGGG
rnacentral:rRNA from 1 species